AUUGAACGCUGGCGGCAUGCCUAACACAUGCAAGUCGAGCGAGCGGCGGACGGGUGAGUAAUUUAUGGGGACUGCUCUAUAGAGGGGGAUAACUACUGGAAACGGUGGCUAAUACCGCAUACUAUCGGAUAACCCAUAUUGGAUGAGCUAGUAGGUGGGGUAAAGGCUAACCUAGGCGACGAUCUCUAGCCGGUCUGCGAGGAUGAUCAGCCACACUUGGACUGAGACACGGCCCAGACUCCUACGGAGGCAGCAGUGGGGAAUAUUGCACAAUGGGCGCAAGCCUGAUGCAGCCAUGCCGCGUGUAUGAAGAAGGCCUUAGGGUUGUAAAGCACUGUCAGCGGGGAGGCGUUACCCGCUGAAGAAGCACCGGCUAACUCCGUGCCAGCAGCCGCGGUAAUAC
rnacentral:rRNA from 1 species